CUAUUCCGUGCAUCCACUACCCUCUCAGUAAAGUAAUACUUCCUGAUAUUAUUUUUAAACCUUUGCCCCUCUAAUUUAAGACUAUGUCCUCUUGUGGUAGUUUUUCUUCUUUUAAAUAUAGUCUCCUCCUUUACUGUGUCGAUUCCCUUUAUGUAUUUAAAUGUUUCUAUCAUAUCCCCCCUGUCUCGUCUUUCCUCCAAGCCAUACAUGUUAA